GAGCACUAAAGAAGCAGCAUUCUUUACAGGUGUAUCCAGAUUGAAAUACAACAACAUGCCAAACUACAAAUUAUUGUUCGUGAUACUAUGCAUUGCACUGAUUGUGCCUAGUCAAAGUAAUGCCCAAUCUCGAUUCGGAAAAAAGGUUGUUGACAAACG